CCUAUCAACCAACCAGUUAUAGGAUACCGUGAAACGCAACGGACGUACCCCAAUUCCUACUUACUGUGUCGAUAAACAGCUGGAGACGCCAGACCUGCUUAUUUCUCUUAUUAAAAUAUAACCUAGCUGGAGACGCCAGACCUAGAUUUAAUAUUCUAAUAGCAUUACUAUGAAGGAACCCAAUUUAUAUCAAUUAUUCUAGAGACGCUAGUAAUAAUUAAUAUACCAAUUAAUUCCUACUACGAACAUGGUAGUUGUAUCACUAAUAAGUCCUAUUCCAACAAUUACGGAUUGGCAGGAACUAAUUGACUGUAAUCCAAUUAAACUUAAGUUGAUCAGGCUUAAAUAAAAUCAGAAUUAUCUUGGAACCUAGGAAUUAAUCGGAAUCAAUAGGAAUCAAUUUUAAACCAAUU
rnacentral:lncRNA from 1 species